rnacentral:rRNA from 1 species
AGCGAACGCUGGCGGCAGGCCUAACACAUGCAAGUCGAACGGAUCCUUCGGGAUUAGUGGCGGACGGGUGAGUAACACGUGGGAACGUGCCCAUUGGUUCGGAACAACUCAGGGAAACUUGAGCUAAUACCGGAUGUGCCCUUCGGGGGAAAGAUUUAUCGCCAUUGGAGCGGCCCGCGUCUGAUUAGCUAGUUGGUGAGGUAAAGGCGCACCAAGGCGACGAUCAGUAGCUGGUCUGAGAGGAUGAUCAGACACAUUGGGACUGAGACACGGCGCAAACUCCUACGGGAGGCAGCAGUGGGGAAUCUUGCGCAAUGGGCGAAAGCCUGACGCAGCCAUGCCGCGUGAAUGAUGAAGGUCUUAGGAUUGUAAAAUUCUUUCACCGGGGACGAUAAUGACGGUACCCGGAGAAGAAGCCCCGGCUAACUUCGUGCCAGCCGCCGCAGUAAGAC